rnacentral:rRNA from 1 species
GAACGCUGGCGGCGUGCCUAAUACAUGCAAGUCGAACGAGUUCUGAUUAUUGAAAGGUGCUUGCAUCUUGAUUUAAUUUUGAACGAGUGGCGGACGGGUGAGUAACACGUGGGUAACCUGCCCUUAAGUGGGGGAUAACAUUUGGAAACAGAUGCUAAUACCGCAUAAAUCCAAGAACCGCAUGGUUCUUGGCUGAAAGAUGGCGUAAGCUAUCGCUUUUGGAUGGACCCGCGGCGUAUUAGCUAGUUGGUGAGGUAACGGCUCACCAAGGCAAUGAUACGUAGCCGAACUGAGAGGUUGAUCGGCCACAUUGGGACUGAGACACGGCCCAAACUCCUACGGGAGGCAGCAGUAGGGAAUCUUCCACAAUGGACGCAAGUCUGAUGGAGCAACGCCGCGUGAGUGAAGAAGGCUUUCGGGUCGUAAAACUCUGUUGUUGGAGAAGAAUGGUCGGCAGAGUAACUGUUGUCGGCGUGACGGUAUCCAACCAGAAAGCCACGGCUAACUACGUGCCAGCAGCCGCGGUAAUACGUAGGUGGCAAGCGUUAUCCGGAUUUAUUGGGCGUAAAGCGAGCGCAGGCGGUUUUUUAAGUCUGAUGUGAAAGCCCUCGGCUUAACCGAGGAAGUGCAUCGGAAACUGGGAAACUUGAGUGCAGAAGAGGACAGUGGAACUCCAUGUGUAGCGGUGAAAUGCGUAGAUAUAUGGAAGAACACCAGUGGCGAAGGCGGCUGUCUGGUCUGUAACUGACGCUGAGGCUCGAAAGCAUGGGGUAGCGAACAGGAUUAGAUACCCUGGUAGUCCAUGCCGUAAACGAUGAAUGCUAGGUGUUGGAGGGUUUCCGCCCUUCAGUGCCGCAGCUAACGCAUUAAGCAUUCCGCCUGGGGAGUACGACCGCAAGGUUGAAACUCAAAGGAAUUGACGGGGGCCCGCACAAGCGGUGGAGCAUGUGGUUUAAUUCGAAGCAACGCGAAGAACCUUACCAGGUCUUGACAUCUUUUGAUCACCUGAGAGAUCAGGUUUCCCCUUCGGGGGCAAAAUGACAGGUGGUGCAUGGUUGUCGUCAGCUCGUGUCGUGAGAUGUUGGGUUAAGUCCCGCAACGAGCGCAACCCUUAUGACUAGUUGCCAGCAUUUAGUUGGGCACUCUAGUAAGACUGCCGGUGACAAACCGGAGGAAGGUGGGGAUGACGUCAAAUCAUCAUGCCCCUUAUGACCUGGGCUACACACGUGCUACAAUGGAUGGUACAACGAGUUGCGAGACCGCGAGGUCAAGCUAAUCUCUUAAAGCCAUUCUCAGUUCGGACUGUAGGCUGCAACUCGCCUACACGAAGUCGGAAUCGCUAGUAAUCGCGGAUCAGCACGCCGCGGUGAAUACGUUCCCGGGCCUUGUACACACCGCCCGUCACACCAUGAGAGUUUAUAACACCCGAAGCCGGUGGCGUAACCCUUUUAGGGAGCGAGCCGUCUAAGGUGGGACAAAUGAUU